GCACAAAUUUUGAAAAUUUGCCAUUAUGGGAGAAAUAACGAUCAAUUUAAAUAAGUCUCCAAAACCCAACUUACGCCGAUGAUCUUUUAUAUGUGUAUGUGUUGUGUGGGUUUUGGGGUGGGGCAAGUUAAUAUGCCUUCUUCUUCUUGACAGAGAAAAGUUUAGUACACCGUGGAAGACCGGCAGGAAAAGACCUAUUUUUCCGUGCGAGUCGGACGUACCAGUUGGGGCGAAAUCCCCCUGGGGCCCAGUGGCCAUCUUGUGAAGUGUGCCACCCGUGCAGUGGAAGAGAUACGCCGCCUGCCGCGGUGAGAAAUUAGAAGGACGGAAGGAUUUGCUGCAAUUGGCGUCCAGUGGCAGCUACCGUGCCACUGCACACUCCCCGUCAAAUUUGGGAGUUCCGCCGAGGCGAGGGAUUUCAUCCGGAGCCUCUCGUAAUCCACCACUUGUGACACGACUCACUCCCUGACAAUUCGGGAGUUCUGCGGAGUUAGAAGCGCAGCAGAAGCAGCAGUGACUCACCAUCGGUGACGACAUCCUCCCCGUCAAUUUAGGGAGUUCCGCCAAGGCGAGGGAUUUUAUCCGGAGCCUUCCGUGACCCACAACUUGUGGCACGACUCACUCUCAGGCAAUUCAGAGAGUGCGGCGGAGUUGAAGAGCAUCAGAGGCAGUGGUGAUUCACCAACCAUCAAGGCACCCUCCCAGUCACUAUAGGGAGCGCUGCCAAGGCGAGGGAUUUCAUCCGGAGCCUUUCGUGACCUGCAAUUCGUGUCACGACAUUCUCCCUGAGAAUUCGGGAGUUCAGCAGAGGUGGAAGAGCGUCUGGGACGACAGUGAUUCAUCACCCAGAGGGCUCACUCCCCGUGGAAUUGGAGAGUCUCACCGAGCCGAAGAAGUUCUACUCGGGCAUCUCAUGGUACAGCAGAGCAUCUUGACUACAAGAGACGUCGCCCAGAUGAUGUGAAGAAGGACCCGAUUUUGUAGUGAGUGGCUGAAUAAAUCGUCCCCGUUUGAGGACUAAGAGGAAAAAGGAUUUCUAUAAAUGGCGCCCAACCAUCGGUGGAACCAGAGAAAAGUUUAGUACACCGUGGAAGACCGGCAGGAAAAGACCUAUUUUUCCGUGCGAGUCGGACGUACCAGUUGGGGCGAAAUCCCCCUGGGGCCCAGUGGCCAUCUUGUGAAGUGUGCCACCCGUGCAGUGGAAGAGAUACGCCGCCUGCCGCGGUGAGAAAUUAGAAGGACGGAAG